rnacentral:lncRNA from 1 species
CAUAUGCCUACAUGACUAGAUAGCUUGACCCCAACAAUGCCGUGGACACUCCGAGGGAAUGCCGUUGACAUGAUUAAAGAUCAAGAACCUAACCAUUAGACAUCUAUGAUGCCUCAGGUCAAAGGACUACUUUGCAUAUUGCAACUUUAGAGUUCAUACACGACAUGUAUGUUCGAACUCUCUUUUGAUCGUAGUUCAAUGUACUCGAUCACUCUUUCGAGCACCUAUGUGUUUGUCUUAGUGUCCAACACCAAAUGACUUGAGACUAGUCAUACUUACGCUUGAGUCAACAUAACACAUACUAACCUUAGCGGAUUGUCAAUGCCCAAUUGGCAAUCCUAUGGCU